GCCUGCCCGGGCCCGCCGGGACCCGCUGCCGGGGACCGGCCGCCUCCCGCCCCGCAGCCUCCCGCGCGGGCCCGGGCCUGCAGCUCGGCGGGCGGGCCGCCCCGGGCCCCGGCAGCCCUCGCUCAGGCUGGCUUCAAGGAGAGCCCCGGGGCCCUGCUCGUGCGCUCGGCCCCGCUUCCCGGCGGGUUCUCCAGGGUGGGCAGGCCCUGCCUUCCCGGGCCGCGCUGCGCCGCAGCUGGACGUGGGGGCUGUGGGGAAGGGCCCGGCCGGGCCCCCCGCGGCCAUCGGGCCUGGAGCCCCGCGGACCCGCAGCUCCUUCACUCGGGCCUGCUGAGGAGACGUGCAGGGCAGCACGAGAAGCCGUCCAGCCUAGGAGACGCUUGGUUUUGGAUACUUAAAGCCUGUAUGCACUGAAGAGCUGCUCCUGAGAUGGAUGUUCUGCUUGGAGGGAAUCUGAAGGCAUGGUACAUUACUCUAGUCCUUUUUGAUGCCAAACUGUAGCUGUGAGCAAGUGCCAGCAAUUCCCCAACAACACAUCUCCUGCAGGAACACGGAUCAGCCUGACACACCUGGAGGAGAUCCUGUGCUGCCCCCAGCCCCUGUCAUCUGCCUGUUCCAGGGGGCCUGCACUGCUGAACUGAAGGAGCUCCACAGCCCGGGUCCAUCCCAGGAGAGCAGGAUGCACGGCAGAUGCCCUGUGCAGCCUGCAGGGGAACUGCAGGUUGGCGAACACCUGGGAACGUGGGACUACACGGAGCAGACCCGGGUGUUUCUAUAGCAGGAGCUGCAGCCAGAAUAGCAACACCUCGAGGGAGUGAAGAGAGAUCGAAGUUCAACUACAGGCAGAUGAAAUUCUCAAUACCAGUCCAUCGGCGCCGAUGCGGCCUCUCCCCGUGACUCGGAAGGUCACUUCGACUUCCCAGUAUUCAAAUAUCG